ACAAGGUUUCCGUAGGUGAACCUGCGGAAGGAUCAUUACCUAGAGUUGUAGGCUUUGCCUGCUAUCUCUUACCCAUGUCUUUUGAGUACCUUACGUUUCCUCGGUGGGUUCGCCCGCCGACUGGACAAAAUUUAAACCCUUUGUAGUUUGUAAUCAGCGUCUGAAAAAACUUAAUAGUUACAACUUUCAACAACGGAUCUCUUGGUUCUGGCAUCGAUGAAGAACGCAGCGAAAUGCGAUAAGUAGUGUGAAUUGCAGAAUUCAGUGAAUCAUCGAAUCUUUGAACGCACAUUGCGCCCCUUGGUAUUCCAUGGGGCAUGCCUGUUCGAGCGUCAUUUGUACCUUCAAGCUUUGCUUGGUGUUGGGUGUUUGUCUCGCCUCCGCGUGUAGACUCGCCUCAAAACAAUUGGCAGCCGGCGUAUUGAUUUCGGAGCGCAGUACAUCUCGCGCUUUGCACUCAUAACGACGACGUCCAAAAGUACAUUUUUACACUCUUGACCUCGGAUCAGGUAGGGAUACCCGCUGAACUUAAGCAUAUCAAUA
rnacentral:rRNA from 1 species